GAAGUAUUUACCUAAAGGAUUAUCAUAAGAAUCGUAUGAGUUAGUAUGUGUUAUGUGCUUAAGAGUGCUUGGCAGACAGUCAGUACUACCUUUGUUGUUAGAGUUUCUGAAGACUCAAUGGAACUUACAGUAAGAGGAUAAGAAUUUUGGUCUCACAUGAGGAAGCUUCUCUGGUCACCUGAUCAGCAUUUAUCACAUCGUUUCCAUGAGAAAAAUGCAUUUCAAGUUCCUACGUUUCCGCUUGUCAACACAUCCAUUAGAAAAGAAGGGACUGCCAGUUGUAUGAAACCGUGGUGCAUUUGGUUGAAAUGGAAAAUUCAAAUCUGCCUUGGAGGCAUUUCAAAUUCUCCAUAUUUAUGCCAUGGGACAGUGAACUAAAACCUGAAUUCUCCUUCCACAUUUUCAGUUUGCAUUCACAGGUCUGGAGUUAGAAACAACCCGGUGUGGUGCCAAGCCUAGGUUUUAAUGUCUAGAGGGGAAACAACUGCGAACUUCUGAACAAGGUUAUCCUGGCUU
rnacentral:lncRNA from 1 species